rnacentral:lncRNA from 1 species
GGGAAAUGUCUGGAUAAGUUGUAGGGAUUCUUGAGGUUAUUAUAGAAAAAUUGUCUUCUCUGUCAGGUCUUCCACUGAAGACCAAGUAAUGUUAAAGUGUAUAUGUAUAUAUAUAUUCUUAUAGGGUAGUGUUUGUUCUUUGAAUAUUUCCACGGGGUCUCUAUAUAAACUUUUGUCGGAUGACUUAAACUGAAUUUUAGUUGGUCUGCAUGGAACGGUUUCUUUUAGGUUAAGUACAUUUCAGGUCAAACAAAAAUUUUAAAAUUUAAAAACACAUGCUUUACAUUUGGAGCUCUACAAAAUGUACAGCUAGUAAGAAAACAUGCUGAGCAGCCUGGAAGAACUGAGGAGUGACUUGAGUGCACAGAGUCACUAGGAACCUCACUGCAGGACAUACUCCCUUUGUGCUAUGGCCUUCAGAGGGCUGCUCUCUAUUUCUUGGUGCUGAAGUUUAUCCAAUAGUGUACUCACAGCACAUUAUUCCCUCAGUGAAGCUGGACUGGUGGGCUUUAUUAUGGAGUUUAUACUAUUGUAAUUGUAAUAGCAUUGUGAAAAAUAAACUGUUGUAUGAUGGAAAUUUUUAAUGUCUCAGGUUUCAUAUGAUCUCCAAUAUCAUCAAUAUUUGCACUUACUGUUUUCUUAGAUAGUGUUAAAAACCUGUAUUCUGGGCAUGUGAAAAUAAAUAGCAGCUGGCCAUAUGAGGUCAAAUGAUAGUCUUGAAUGGAAUUAGUUACCUGUUAUAUUUAACUAUUUUCCUGUCUGCGUUGACACCUUGUACCAGCACAAAUUUAUCUUUAUUGGUUCCUAUUAUUUAAGAUUCGAGGUGCUGUGUAUCCAGGAUUUCCACAUUAGCAUCAUUUUCAAGGCUGCAAUUAAUUAAACAGACCUAGAAGCUUAGCUAGGAGCACCACUGGUAACAGAAGUGAUUCUCACUUGGAUGGUUCUUGGCAGGCACUCUUUAAUGGUGAGCUUCAGUUCCUUGCUGGCUGCUGACUAGGCUAUCCCUGCACUCCUCUGUAUUGGAGCUGAACUCUUUACAGAACUCCUUCAUCACAGUGUGGCAAAAAGAAAACAGUGGUCCUACCAGCCACAACAAUGAGAAUGUGAAUACAAAAGCAGUCCCUCUUCGCAUUUGCAUGGACUGUUGGUUAGAAGCACAUCACUCAGAGAAAUGGGGACUCACCACAAAAGUCUUGUUGGCAGAACAGGCAAGACUUAACCAGUCAAUCCAUCACUUACUUCCAGUUUAUCUAAGGCAUUCUUAAACUCCCCGAGCAUAUUACAUCAAAAUAAAGUGACUGACAAUGUGUAAAGUAAUAAUCAUGCCAUACCAUCUUUCAUAUGCUUGCCCCACUCUUACUGCACAGCUAACACCAGGACACUGCUGUCUUAAUUUUCUUCCUUCCCCUGCAUAUGCCAGCCUUCUAACACCUCAACAAACUUAUUUGUCCUAUGUAUCACUCCAGCCAUAGGCCACUCCUUUCUGGCCAUAUUUAAGAUUAAUUCACCUCACAAUACCGAACAAAAUUAUUAAGAACAUACUUAUCAACACAUUAGAAAUCCAACUUACUAUUAAUAAUACGAAACCCCUGUAAUCAUCAGUGAAUGAUUUUAAUGUUUUAGCUUUAAACGAGAACAAUAGUGUUCAUGAAAGUUAUUGAUAAUAUACACUACAUCAACAAUCUAACUGCCGAAGGUAAUACCAUUAAGCCCUGCACAGUUCUGUUAGGUUUGUCAAAACAGUUGUGAAAAAUUAA